AUUCAUCCGCGCUUUAACAGAUCAUUAUUAGAUCGCAUUUUGUUCGAAUGAGGGGCUACGAUUUCACGUUUAUCAAUAGCAUCCUUCAGAUUUAGAUAUUUAAUGUCAUCAGAAAGUAGGCGGGGAGGAGGAGACGGUGUCGGCUUUCGAAAUAGCUGGAAGGGAGACACUGAAACUCAAAGCGGCGGAGAACCACCUUGGCAAGAAGCAGCCCAGAUCAGAAGUCGAGGGCGCCAAGCUGCUGCCUAUAUCCUGGCUGUAUCGAGAACGCUGGACGAUCUAAAUUUGGGAAUUCGCAAGGUAUCUAGAAUUAGUUCUGAAAUUGGGAAAUUAAAAUGGAAUGAAGUACGACGCACAUUACCACUUUAAAACUUUUAGAAGAUGGACAAGAAGGAAGCUAAACAUGGCCCCUUUUUCCUCGCUCACUGCACAGGUACAUUCAGUAAUCGGCGCCAACUGAAUUCUGGACAUAAAUUUAUGCGUCACAUUUCCAUCACGUGAUUAAACCUGGAAUCAUUUUUUUCUCCGAGGAUGGGCCAAGUACGCUCAACGAAACUGACGCUUCUCAAACGGGACAGAAUGUACUUUAGAAACCAUUUUACAGGCAGUUGGUGAAUAUUAAAACAUUGGACUAUUAACUGGAAAACUUGGGAUACAAAAUUAGUUUACAACGUUUUAUUCUUGAACAGGAAAACUCUUCACUUUUUGUGUGCGGCCUAGACACCAUUUUAACGGUAGAGCUUCGCCGAGACUAUCCGAACCUUACGGCGGGUUUGUUGAUGGGUCUCCGGACGGUCGUUCUACCCUUGAUAAUCAAUUUGAACUUGAUGAUUUUGUGAAUAUCAGCGGUCAGAGACAUGAUUAUGAAGCUAUGGAGAAAGAUUCCUUCAUUGGACCUGAGAUGAAAAUGUGUUUGACGCUAACUUUGUGUUGUGACCAUGGAUACAUGACGAUGCUAUCAUUGAAUUGGAUUUGAUUAAAUUGGAUUGGACAGAUGAACAUGCUGAGACUGAUCAAACGUUGCUGUAUGAGUGAGUCCUUUUACCCGUAGAACAAUACGGCAAUAUCACUUCAUGAUCUUAAUGAAACUAUGAAUUUUAUGGAAAUUGGUUAAGUUUAGGUUUUAGUGUCAGGAUUCGUAGUGUAAGUUCAUUUACACCCCCCCCCCCGUUAGGAUAGGCGCCUGGCCGAAAUGUAUUCUUUAGCCUUUUUCCAUAAAGUUCAUCGUGUCAUAUCAAGAAGAUUGCUGUGUUGUCACCUACUGGUAAUCAAAGUUAGUUGCAUAAUUUUUCUUGAUAAAAUGUUUGCCGAAAGCUUUACAACUUUUUUUUGGAAAAAAGGUAGUAAGGCUUUUACCCCGACAAUCUCGCUUAAUCGUUCUUUAGCGAGUAUUGUGCGUAGUGUCUAAAAAAACAGGGGCGGUGCCAUGGUGAGGGGGCAGGGGCCUUAUCCCCUAUGAUUUUUUUUAAGUGAUGAUCUAAAUAAUACUAACAAAGAUGAGAAAUAGAAAACGAAUUAAGACGAAGGGACUGUAUAUAUUAAGAGUUUUGGAUCGUUUAAUUCUAUUGGACCAAUAUUGGAAUAUGAUUUUUAUGCUAAUGUAAUUUUAUUUUAUUUGAGCAUGACAGUAAAUUUUGAAUAUCAUAAUAUCUGAAUCAUUCAGUUGAUGAAAAAAUGACGUCACUUUUACGUCAUCAAGCCCCUUAAUGAUGAUGAUACCCUAGCACCGCCCCUGAAUGAAACUACUUUCACACGCCAAGAUUCUGGCUGGUGAAAUUAGCAUAAAAACACAUUUCGAUAAUUCGGGCGUUUAUCGAUUUCGCGUCUGAAAAGACACGGACGUCACGUUUAUUCAAUACAAGGUGAGAUAUAUUGCUUUAAUUUUGUAGAUUUUAUUCGGUAUGCUAAUUAUAGAUUAUCCGUUUCGUUCGUUUUCAAGGUAAGAUUGGUUGCAUUGAUUUUAUCAGCCGUAAUCUUGUGUAUUUCAUGUUGGUAUGCCGAUUAUAUUUUUAAUUUUUAUAGCUAAACAUUAUACUCUUAAUCAUCAAAGUGUGGUUCAUUGAAUAGUACCGUAAUCGAGUUGUAAGCCCAUGGAAAAUUAGUUUGGUAAUCCUCAAGUCAAGUAUGACAUGCAUGAGCGAGACUGGAUGGGUUAUGAAUAAUAGGCACAAUGUAGACAUAUAGCCAUAUAAAGAGUGCAUAUGGGAAAGGGCCAAUGUUCAAAUUCAAAAGGUGGACAAGGACGAGAAUAGCUUAGAAUUCCCCUUCUUCAUACAAAGUAGAUCUAAAUUGUAUAUGCUCAGAUUGUAUUUGUCUAAAUUUUUGUUCUGCAAUUUGAAGUUAAUAGUCCCACGCACAUAAUGUCAUUAUAGAUAUAGAUAUCGUUUGCAAGCAUGGUGGUAAAAUGAUCGCGGAUUUGAGAUGGUAAUGGGCUAUUGCUGCAUACAAAGAGAACAAAUUUAUUUUACAAUCAUAACUACAAGUACCUGAGAGAAGCAUAAGCCUUUCUUUCUGUUCAGAAAGUAGCUGAAACAGAAGUAGAAGAUUAGAUUAUAACAGUGAUGAUAUUUAGGAUUAUUGUGAAAUGAAAAGGACAAUGAAUUUCGUUUUAUAGUCUAUAGAUCUAUUGCACAUACUUUAUAGGUACCAUUUUUAGAGCCAAACAUGGAAUUUGAGUUAAUGGCAAUAUGUAUGAUUAUGAUAGAUAUAAUGAUUAUUGUACAAAAGUGAUGAUUAUUAAAGAAAUGACAAUGAAUUUAUUUUUAUAUUUUUUAUCUAAUUCAUGUAUUCGAAUUGUUAAAAAGCAUUAUCAGAAUCAAGCUAUUAAAUGAAAUUUUGUUUAGGCCUACAUUCUAGAUCUAGUGCAUAACUUAUGUUUUGAAUUAAUAGAAACCGUUAUCAGAGCCUAUCAAUUUCUGACAGGUAGUUUUGUAUCGAUGGUAAUAAUUAUGAUUAGUAUAACCGUGAUAAUAAUAAAGAUUAUUAUAAAAAAUUGAUUUCUAUUGUAUAUCUUAUGCAUAAUUCAUGUACAUGUACAGGUGUAUUCGAAUUUAUAGAAAUAAGAACCAAGCUAUUUCUUUAAUGAAAGUUUGUACCAAGCUAUUUCAUUAUUAUGGAAUUUUGUUUUAUAUUCUAGGACUAGUGUAUUCAUGUAUUUGAAUUUAAAGAAGUCAUUAUCAGAACCAAGCUAUUUAAUCAAUAUGGAAUUUCUUGUUAUAUUCUAGCUCUUGUGCACAAGUUAAGUAUUCUACAGUAUAUUAUAGUAAUUAUAAGAACCAAGCUUUUUUUUAACAUUGAAGUUUGUAUCAAGCUAUUUCAACAAGUAAUGUUACUAGAUCUAGUGUAUUAUUUUCAUGUAUUCGAAUUUAUACAAAUCAUUUUCAGAAACAUUGUUUCAUUAACAUGGAAUUUUGUUGUAUAUUCUAGAUCUAGCGAAUAAUUUAAGUAUUCAAAUUUAGAGAGACCAUCAGAGCCAAGAUAUUUCAUUAACAUGAAUUUUGUGUUUAUGUUACAGGUACAUGGAAUGCCCCAAAUAUCUACACAGUAAUAUAUAGCUAGGAGGCAAGUCUAGUUUGAAUAGUCAUCAGUAAAAAAGAUGGUUACCACAGUUACUGGACUUAUUAAGGAUUUAUUAUGGAGACCUGAGCAAACCUUAUCAACAUGAAUAAAUUUCUGCACGAGUAAUUACCUUGUAGAACAAUACAGUAACUACUUCUUGAUUUUAAUGAAACUAUGAAUUUUAUCGAGCUGGUUUGUUGAGGUCAAGUUUAGUGUCAGGAUUUCUAGGCAAAAUUGAUACAUUAGGUCCCCAGUAGGCGCCUGACACUUUAAGCUUGUUCUUAAACUAGCUCGUUAAGAUUUAUUAUUUCAUGUCAAGUUGAUUGCUGCUUUGUCACUAAAGGUUACGUAAUUUUUAGCCUCAGUGGGAUAGCUCGACUAUAUUUUGAAAAAAAAAGUUGAGGUCGCGCGUUAAACGUACAAUAAAUUGUUCAGCGUUAGCCUUCCGAUGUUAGGUUUUCGGCGAAAAAAACCCCUGUAAAUAUAAUUUUAAAUUAUUCGUCCAUCCACACGGCUAUUCGCUGAAUCUUUCAUACGACCAUUUGUUUCUUGCCUUUAGUCAUGCUCAAUAUGCACAUAAUCAUCGACCGUCUCGCUCCUUUGAAGGUACGUCUAUACUAUUCACAUUCUUUUGACAAUUCUUUUUCCAUGUUUUAUACACAUCAAUCAUUCAUAUAAGUAUAAUUGUUAUUGAAAUUGUGGUUUGAAGUUUUAACAAUAGUUACACGCACGUAAUAUAAUAAUACUAGUAGAUCUAGACAAAUGUACAGGGUUGGUAUUGGGACUAAAGUUAUUGUGGAUUUUAGAUAGGAAAGGGGAAAUGAUAACAAUCAUACAUGUAGACUCCUGGCAAAACAGAGGCUCGACUUUCUGUUAUUUGAUCUAGCUGAAAAAGAAGUAGAAGUAACAAAAAAAAAAGGUUUAAGGUGAUAAUUAUGAAAGUGAUAAGGAAUACAAUGCCGAAAUAGCAAAAAAUUGUUUAGUCGAACCGAUGGUAGUUAUAAUG